rnacentral:rRNA from 1 species
AUGUGGAGUGUACAUGGUGAAUUGGAGAAGAAGCUACAGGACUCAAAUGCAACACCAAUGUCCCUUCCACUAGAGUUUUUGGAAGACAUCACAUGUGAUUUUUCCACAGAGUCGGUACUUGGCGAAGGCGGGUAUGUGAUAGUUUACAAGGGAGUUCUUCGGAGUGGGAAAAUCAUCGCUGUGAAGAAGCUGUUUGAAAUGCGUCUAAAAGAGGAGACAUUUCAUAAUGAGGUCAGUAAUCUUAUGGGGAUCAAGCACCAAAACGUAGUGCAGUUUAUAGGUUACUGUGCCGAAUCAAGAUGGGAAGCAAUAGAGACACCAAGUGGAAGUGGGAAGCAUGUUCUUGCCGAAAUUCCAAAGAGGUUGCUCUGCUUCGAGUACAUAUCCAACAAAAGCCUCGAGAAACAUAUUUCCGAUGAAUCUUUGGGGCUUGAGUGGAAUAUGAGAUACAAGAUAAUCAAGGGGAUUUGCAGUGGUAUGCAUUUCCUUCAUGAUGCAUGCCAUAUCGUUCAUCUUGACCUAAAGCCAGAAAAUAUAUUGAUAGACUCUACUAUGACACCAAAAAUCGCGGAUUUUGGUUUGUCAAGGAUCUUUGGAGAGCAAGAAUCACGAAUUGUCACUGAUAACCGUGCUGGAACAUGUGGAUAUAUGGCACCAGAAUACUUAAUCCGAGGUGUAGUCUCAAACAAAGCGGAUAUCUUCAGUGUUGGUGUAAUAGUCAUAGAGAUAAUUACAGGUCAUAGGGACUAUCCAUAUUUUCAGCAAGAUAAUCCUCACAGUACCGCAGCAUCACUCCAGCAGUUCACAGAAAAAGUGCUCCUAAGCUGGAGGAACAAAUUCAUAUCCACACCAAACUAUAAAUCAACAGAAAGAUCUAUCCGACAAGUAAGACAAUGUAUUUGCAUAGCCCUUGAAUGUGUGGACCCUGGCAUGGAGAAAAGACCCACUCCAAAGGAUAUACUCGAAAUGCUUAACGGAGUAGACAAGAUGGUGGCCAAUGAUGAGCUGCAGUCAGACAUGCACUGCAAGGACAUGCUGCAGGCUCUGAACACUACUGUGAGUAACGAUCCCACAUCCCAGAACCGGAGUAUCACUAACGACAUGUUAAACAAAGAGACAGAUAGUAAAUUGGUGGCUAAUGUGAAAUCGGUGGAGGGUUUGUCACUGACACCUUUACCAGAAUCAAACAAAAUCAGUGAGAUAGUGAAGGGGUGGGCAGAAAAGGCAUCCAGUAAGCCACAACCAACAAGCGACACAACCAUUGUGCAAGCAAUCCCAGCUUUAACACAGAUCAUAUCUAGGGAGAUACCUAAGAAGCGCAUGGUUUCACUAGACGUAAAUCUGACAGAGUCAUGGAUUGCAACAGGCCAUGAAGAUGGAUAUAUUGAUAUAUGUGAUUAUAUCAUGCAGAAGUCGAUCUGUUUUAUUAAAACCGAAGAACAUGGUUACUUCCCAGUUAAUACGAUUAAAUUUAUUGAACGAAAGCAAUGGUUUAUUGUUGGGCUAGGGCCUGGGAGUGGCAAAAUCUAUGUAUAUAACUAUAAACCCGAGGUGCAGAAAAUCACUAGUUUUCGUGUUAAGAGAUACUUCUUAGGUAUCAACUCACUGGCAGUUCAUCCAACCCAACCGUAUGUGUUGUCGUCAUGUAGUGGGUACAUACAGCUUUGGGACUGGGACAAGAACUGGGAGUGCAUAAAAACUUUUAAGAAACUAUCCUAUUUUGGGUUUGAACUCGAACUUGCAUUUAACCCGAAGGAUGCCAACAUAUUUGCUAGUGCUUCAGAAGAUAACACAGUAAAGCUUUGGAGUCUUGAUUAA